UAAAACUUAAUUUUACAAAACCCUAAAUCCAUCUUCUUCCUUGCAACUCCAGCCGCCAUCCAUCUCGGAACCACCUGCUAUCACCGUCUCCUCAUCUUCAUCCACCACCAUCAUCAGAUUUCACUACCGACUAAAAAUGAAUGUUCAAAUCACACUGCCUUCUUAUCUCCAGCCACCACCAUCCUCAUUUAUUGCCGGAGAAGAUGAAAUCGUUGCCGGAUCCAGCUAUACAAACAGACCCAGCUGCACGAACAGGCUGACAAAUAGAGGACGAAGACCCAAUUGUUGGUGUUGUUGUCGGAGAAGCUGAAGCCACCAACCCAGAAGAAGAGGGAAAUAAAUCUGUUGCUGAAAAUGAACUAACGAACGAGCUGCCGACGAAGAUGGAGCUUGAUUGAUCUGUGUUGGUUUUUUCCAUAAAAAAGAAGAGAACUUUCAGUUUUAGUUUGGACGAAAAGAAAGUGAUCCUGAAGCAUUGUAAUUAUGAUGUUCUGUAAAAUGCCACCAAUAAACAACAAAUGACAUUCAUUAAUCAAGAUUGAAGUUUUCAGUACAAUAAAAAGAGUGACCCAGGUUGAAAAAAUGGCGAAAUUAAGAAACCCAGUUAAGGAAAUUUUGGUGAUUUGAGGCUGGAUUGAGUUACGUUUUUUUGUCCAGAUUAAAUUAGACAGUGGUCGUCAUGAACUGUUGGAGAGGAUUGGUGUCAGUGCUGAUGCUGUUGCUGUUGCUCGCACAGGUGAUGCAUUGGCGUUGUCGGAGUUGUCACUCACAUUCCUUGCACUUCUAAGACAAUUCAAUCUUACUUCUUGUUAUUCUUCAAUGUAGACCAAAAGAGUAUGGCAUGGGCAACCGAUCAAACUGAACCAAACCAAAUUAAUAGGAAUUUCAAAAUGUUUCAAACAGAACCAAUUUGUUUGAUUCAGUUUUUGGUUUGAAUUGUACCAAAUGAGAACUGAUUUUUUUUUCCUUACGAAACUGAACUGAAGCGAGAAAAUGAAUUUUUUUAUAAUUUCAAACCGAACUGAAUUUGUCUCUUCAGUUUGGUUUUUGCGUUCCUCUAUACAAUUGCAAUUGGUGAAGCAAGAGAUGGUAUAUUAUUAUUUAAAAGUUUAAUUGUUUCCUAUAGGUAGAUGAUAAUACUAAUGCUUCUUACGGAGAUUAAUAACAUCUAUUGUCAUUGGUGAAUUUUGGCGCUAGAGCGGAGACAAAUUUGCUGUGAAGGUGAGGAUCUCUGGCUCCUCUGCUGCCCGGUUAUACUUCAAUCACUUCAUCUUCAAGCUGCCAAAUG